CAGCGGGAGCAGCGUUGCCCGGCCGGCGGCCUUCAUUCUGCGAGCGAAACGCGGCUCUCCCGCGUUUUCUUUGGGUUUCCCUCUCGGGCUGUGCAGCACCCAAAGCGUUUUGGGCCUCUUGCGUAAUAUCCUCUAAAAUGCGUGACGGUGUCAUUCAGUUUCCUGCGCCCCCCGUUUUUACUAAUGCGCCUCGCAGGCACCGCGUAGCCCGCGCCGCUGUGGAGCUUCUGGGGCGGCGCUGAAGAAGGCCGCAGGUAGCUGAGCUCUGCUGAGGAGAGAGGCAGGAUGAGGAUGGAGCUGCCCGUGGCCAAGUGUGGUUGUCUCUCAUUUGAAAGCUUGCAAUGCCAUCAUCAUCUGCUUCAUCACCGUCUCCACCACCAAGAAGGUCUGGCAGACCCACUAUAUAUUCCCCUUCAGAGAAAAGGAGGAGAAGAAAGAAUCUGGAGAGAAAAAGGGCUCAGUCAAGGACACGUGUAAGAGAACAAACAGGAAGAUGGAUGUCCCUUAGAGAAACACUUAAUGUGUUCUCACAUGCUGAAGUUGCCAAGCUUUUGCUGGAUUUAUAUGACAGCUAUGAACACCAAGAUAAUGUGUGCAAGGAAUUACAACUGUAGCAAGAAGCUGAUGGAAGCUCAGAGUUAAAAGCUGAACAGGAUGUGCCAGAGACCUCUUCAGCAGCAACGGCUGAAAGGUUACCUUGUGAAGACUUAAAGGAAGAGCCUACAGGGAAUUCAGAGGAAGAGUUUAUCAUUGAUAAAGAAUAUGAUCUUUCUAAAAGUUUUUCUUCAGUUAAAUACUUGAGAAAUGUGUUGAUAGCAGAGGAUGUAUUGGCUAUUACAGAUGAAUGUGAGGAUGGGUCACAGGAUGGCUUUAUAGAAAGCUCUCAGGAAACAUCUCUCAGUAUGACUUUGGAGGACGCCCAGGAUGCAGCUCAUGAAAAAACACGUAUUGUCUAUGAUCGCUGCCUUCUCCAGCUAGCCAAAAAAAGUUAUUGCCAAAUGUUUGUUUUCUGCUGAUGAAGUUUCUACACCGCCUAUCUCCUCCUGUGUGCAUUCGAUUUGGGUGACUGGUAUUCCUUGUUAAUGUAUUUGUCUUAUGUUGCUCUGAUAAUUUCUCCAUGAAUUGUAAGUGACUGUAUUUGAUGCAAACAAUCAACCCUACACCUUGCAAAGUUUAAAUGAGGCUCUUCCCAAGUGUCUUACACUCGCAGACAAACCUGCUGAGGUCAAUUCAACACCAAAAACUCAACUACCUACGUGCACACUCGGAGCUGAAAUUCAAAUGUUUAUAUUUAAUAAGAUGUGGUUAUAUGGAGAGCAUCAAAUAUACAUACGUAUUUGCUUAUUUCAUAUUUACUGACUAAAUAAUCCGGUUAAUCCAGUGUGAUUGUUACUUGAUCAGAGAUUACCCUGAGGUGUACCUGUCUGUAUGGUAGAUUCUCCUGGUUUAACAUACAUUUUUGUGUAUCUGUAUUUUCAAGUGACAUAUCAGUGGAUAGACACGGUAUAUUUCAGGCCCUGCUUAAACUGGUACUUGUAAAAUCAAGUUUACAAAGAUUAACACACUUUUCAAAGUUUAAAACAGUUAUUUCCCUUUCAACUUCUGAAACUCAGACCUACCGAUCCAAAACAUGGAAGUAAAAAUGGCCAAAAGAAUCUAUUUUUAAUUAAAUUUCCCCAUCCCAAUUGAGAAAACUUCAAACAGUGAAGACAUGUCAAACAGGGAUGAGUUUUCUUGGAUUCCUAGAAUUACUUAAUUUUCUAAGAAUUUAAUAGUAGCACGGGCAGUAUAGUUAGUUUUCAGUGUGUGGCAUUACUUUUAAUUGAAAACAUCCCUUAACAUUUUUAUAUGUUUCUGAAUCUUGUUAGUUUUACUGUUCGUUAGUACACCAAACAGUAAGCGUGUGGUCUCACUUUUUUCUUUCUUUUCCUCUGUACUUUUUUUUUUUUUAAUCUUCAAAUAGAUCCAGAAAUGUGGUGCAGGAUCUGUCAUUUGAGUAGUCUCCCUAGCCUUUGAUAAAAGGAGAUGCGUAUGCAAGUGAUCUUGCAUCUGCUGCAGUAAAACUCAGGAAACAAUUUUGGAAAAAUCUCUCAAAUGGCAAACUUUAUGAAGCUGAUGUUCUUAAGUGUAAAUAGCUUCUUCAGAAUGCAGCAGCAUCUUAUUGUUCCAACAAUACAGUCCUUCUUAGCAAAAUGGAUUACCUUAAUUUCACCUUACUCCAAGAAUAAUGGAGUGGAGUUGUUUUUUUUCCUAACCAUGCAGGAGGUUGUCGUACGGAUGGACCAGGUCACUCUGCACAGUACUGUGUAUACUCAUUCAUGGAACUGGAAACAAAACAGAUACUAGCUAUUGAAAUAGUUGAUAAACGUAACACACAGCUGAACUCUGUUUUUACGGAGAAAGAAGCUUUCUGGAGAACAUUACAAAAAUUGGUAGAUGAACAGCUAAUGGUCAAAGAAGUGGUUACUUACGCGCAUCCUCAAAUCUCUACACUGAAAAGUAAUUAACUUUUUUGAAAAUUUAACCUAUUUUAACUUCUUAACCAAAUGUUACAAAGUCAUAGGAAUUACACUCAGUUUGCAGUACAAUGUUGGCAGUUGCAAAUCCUACUUCAAGUAAUGGAUUUCUAAAAAUCUAGUGCGUUUUUUACAUAUUUUAAAGUAUUUUUAGAUUUCACUUUAGAAAAGAAGUUUAUUUGCAGUGUCUGAGGCAUAAAAACUGUGAUUACCUUUUAUGUAAUGUAUGUGGAAAGAAUAUUUAUCUGGUUCUGUUGCGUUAGCUAGCUUGUAGCUUACACUAGCGGUCAGGUUCUUCCCUCGCAACCUGGAAUGUAACUCCUGUUUCUGUCCACAGCAGUUGAAGAGCUGGGUCUUAAUAUCGUAGAGUUCACAUUUGCUUUCACAAGUAAAGUGGCUUCCACACAUACGUCCGCUGAAUUCCACAAGAGCAUUGUUCUUCCAAAAAGAGAUGGUGGUGCUGGUAUAUAAUAGGUUGUAAUGCUUACUUGCGUGCUUUAGUUUCAGAUUUGAUUAAGAGGUGAAUUAACAGUCAGGAUUUGCUAGAUAAAAAUAAUGAAAUGAGAAUGAAAUGUCAUUACAUUUUCUAACUUCUAUUAAAAGUAUUGUUGGAACAGACUGAAAAACAAAGAGGUCUUAAAGAUUUUGCAUGUGAAUGUGCAUGUGACUGCGCAGGUUUUUCUGUUAGAGGUUGAAAAUUAGAAUGCUUUAAUUAGCAAAUACUGUGCUGUUUCAGGCUUUGAUUCGCUAUACAGACUGCCCAGACACCAUUUUAAUGCAGAAGCAAGCAGAUGCGUUCUGGAUGUCAAAUAAGCAAAAAUACAAAUAUGAGGAGUGGAUUAACUCUAGGUGGGCACUGCAGAUAUAUUUAGCUGAAAUACCUGAUGUUUUUUGAAUAGCUUUUCAAUAGCACUUUUUUUCAAUAGCUUUUGAUAGCUUUGAAAGAUAUGUUUAGUAUACCCAAGAACUCCUUUGAGUUAUGCCCACCUGCCUUUCCAAAAAAGGAAUAAGCCAGCUCUGUGUAGGGGAUUGCAUGCAUUUUAAGGCUUACUGGCUUCUCACUUUUUCCUAUGUGAUUCGUUCAUUUUACAGAUUUGUAUAAAUUUAAAGUGACAAAUUUAAUGACAUAUUUCCAGCUAUGUAUGAAGUUUGAUUUCUAUCAAGAGGUUUUAGUGAACUAGACCUAAAAAGGACACCUUUAAAAUGACAUUAAUCUUGCUAGAAUUUCUUUAGGGAUUAAAAGUCUAACUUUUGUGUGUGUUUUUUAGCUCUAGUAUUGGGUACAUGUGAAAAUCAGUCAUUACAAUGCAGAGGUCUGUUCUCAAAGUGCUGUAUUAAUGUACUUUUAAGGAGCAAGAAUAGUUACUUAUAAUAAUGCAGUUAACUGACAAUAUAUAUUCUGUGUAUAAUAUCAUGCAUGUUUUUUAAAAGGACUGAAUAUUAAAUUGCUACUGUUAUUUUAAUAGCAUCAUAAAAUGUAUUUAAAUUGUAUACCUUAAUCAGGUACCUAGAUUCCAUUGUAUGUGUAUAAGAAAGGAACAAAUUCCUUACUGAUGUCAAUGUGCGUGUAAUGAACUGCCAGAUAAGGACUGAAAAAACAAAGUGCAAAAAUAUUACUUUUUACAGUGAACUAGUAUGUAAUUUUUAUUAGACUGAAUAAACAGAUCUCCUUAUUGGACAAAAUUUUCUUCCUGCUUCAACUUACUGAUAUCGUAGAAUAUAUCGUAGGGGAUAUGCAAAAGGGACUUGAGUACCUAAGAAAGAAGAAGAGCAGUGUUUAUAUUGAUGACAUAAUGGAAGAAAUAUUUCAGUGCUGUUUGGAAACAUAGAAGGAGGUCAAAGUGGAGCAGAAUGCUUCAAGAAUGCAAAAUAAUGUGUGCUAAUUCAUCCAUUCCAUCAUUUAAUGCCUCCAGACUUAAGCCUGUCGCAAUUGCUAACAAUAGUGCUUGGCUCUGUAGGAGGAUAUAGUUGUUUAAGACUUACUCUGGGUGCCAGGGGGGAGAAGGUAUCAAUAAACAAAAGAAAAGAAAUUGGAAAUACUGGCAUUUUAAUUUGUUUGCUAAU